AUUGAACGCUGGCGGCAUGCCUUACACAUGCAAGUCGAACGGUAACGGGCCUUCGGGUGCCGACGAGUGGCGAACGGGUGAGUAAUGUAUCGGAACGUACCUUUCAGUGGGGGAUAACGUAGCGAAAGUUACGCUAAUACCGCAUAUUCUGUGCGCAGGAAAGCAGGGGAUCGCAAGACCUUGCGCUGAUUGAGCGGCCGAUAUCAGAUUAGCUAGUUGGUGAGGUAAAGGCUCACCAAGGCGACGAACUGUAGCGGGUCCGAGAGGAUGAUCCGCCACACUGGAACUGAGACACGGUCCAGACUCCUACGGGAGGCAGCAGUGGGGAAUUUUGGACAAUGGGGGCAACCCUGAUCCAGCCAUGCCGCGUGAGUGAAGAAGGCCUUCGGGUUGUAAAGCUCUUUCGGCCGGGAAGAAAUCGUAUCAGCUAAUACCUGGUGCGGAUGACGGUACCGGCAUAAGAAGCACCGGCUAACUACGUGCCAGCAGCCGCCGCUGUAA
rnacentral:rRNA from 1 species